UACAGAGGGUGCAAGCGUUGUUCGGAAUUAUUGGGCGUAAAGGGCACGUAGGUGGUCCCAAAAGUCUACUGUGAAAUCCCUGGGCUUAACCCAGGAACUGCGGUGGAUACUCUGGGACUUGAGUACUGGAGGGGUGCGUGGAAUUCCCGGUGUAGCGGUGAAAUGCGCAGAUAUCAGGAGGAACACCGGUGGCGAAGGCGGGUCUCUGGGCAGUAACUGACGCUGAGGAGCGAAAGCGUGGGGAGCGAACAGG
rnacentral:rRNA from 1 species